GGACGAUUAGCUCAGCUUACAAGCAGGAUGUCGGCAGUUCGAUCCUGUCAUCGUCCACCA
rnacentral:tRNA from 1 species